rnacentral:rRNA from 1 species
AACCAACAGGGAUUGCCUCAGUAACGGCGAGUGAAGCGGCAAAAGCUCAAAUUUGAAAUCCUGCGGGAGUUGUAAUUUGAAGGUUGCGGGUCCUGAGGCUGUGCGCGCCCAAGUCCAUUGGAACAUGGCGCCUGGGAGGGUGAGAGCCCCGUCCGGCGCAGCGCAGUCUUUUUUGCGGCCCGUUUCCGACGAGUCGAGUUGUUUGGGAAUGCAGCUCAAAGUGGGUGGUAAAUUCCAUCUAAAGCUAAAUAUUGGCGAGAGACCGAUAGCGAACAAGUACAGUGAUGGAAAGAUGAAAAGCACUUUGAAAAGAGAGUGAAACAGUACGUGAAAUUGUUGAAAGGGAAGGGCUUGCAAGCAGACACGGUUUCGGCCGGGCCAGCAUCGGUUUGCCGGGGCGGACAAUGCGGCGGGAAUGUGGCGCGCCUCCUUGUGGGGCGCGUGUUUAUAGCCCGCCGAGAUACGCCCAUGGCAGACCGAGCCUGCGAUCCAAUCUAGGAUGCUGGCGUAAUG